rnacentral:rRNA from 1 species
UACGUAGGGUGCGAGCGUUAAUCGGAAUUACUGGGCGUAAAGCGUGCGCAGGCGGUUUUGUAAGCCAGAUUUGAAAUCCCCGGGCUUAACCUGGGAAUGGCAUUUGGGACUGCAAGGCUCGAGUGCGGCAGAGGAGACUGGAAUUCCUGGUGUAGCAGUGAAAUGCGUAGAUAUCAGGAGGAACACCGAUGGCGAAGGCAGGUCUCUGGGCUGACACUGACGCUCAUGCACGAAAGCGUGGGGAGCAAACAGG